rnacentral:lncRNA from 1 species
CACAGAGAGACAGAGGCAGAGACCCAGGCAGAAGGAGAAGCAAGCCCAAUGUGGGACUCCAUCCUGGAUCCCGGAAUCACGACCCGAGCAGAAAGGCAGGCACCUAACCACUGAGCCACCCAAGUGUCCUGGUAUUUGUAACUUUAAUUAUUUGAGAAAACCCCAUACUGUUUUCUAUAGUGGUUGCGUCAAUUUACAUUUCUAUCAAUAGUGCACAAGGGUUCUCUUUUCUCCACAUCCUUGCCAGCACUUGUUAUUUCUUAUCUUUUUUUAUAAUAGACAUUCUGACAGAUAUGAGGUGAUAUUUCAUUUUUCAAAGAAGACAUAACAGAUGGCCAAACGAUACUUGAAGAGAAAAAGCCAAAUGAAAUUUAGAGAAGUUCUAAUUGCUAAUAAAGGAAUGCCAUCUGACAAUUACAGCCAGAAGUAGCCGUAUGUCUCCAACCACAGGAAAUCAAAGGAGGCUUCAUGCAUUUCUGGUGGACGUGAAGACAGCUGUAUUCAUUUUGCAGAAAAACAUGACAAUACCUAGUCAAGAAUUGGAUCUUUCUGCUCACCUUGGGACCAUCGUCACCAUGAAGACAGAGAUUCCAGUCUUGUCCAGCUUCUCUUGAACUUGGUGUGGAAAGGAUCACUGGCCUGAAAUAUAUCUCUUUGAUAG